rnacentral:rRNA from 1 species
ACGUCUGACCGAGCACGCCGCGUGAGUGAAGAAGGUUUUCGGAUCGUAAAACUCUGUUGGUAGAGAAGAACGUUGGUGAGAGUGGAAAGCUCAUCAAGUGACGGUAACUACCCAGAAAGGGACGGCUAACUACGUGCCAGCAGCCGCGGUAAUACGUAGGUCCCGAGCGUUGUCCGGAUUUAUUGGGCGUAAAGCGAGCGCAGGUGGUUUAUUAAGUCUGGUGUAAAAGGCAGUGGCUCAACCAUUGUAUGCAUUGGAAACUGGUAGACUUGAGUGCAGGAGAGGAGAGUGGAAUUCCAUGUGUAGCGGUGAAAUGCGUAGAUAUAUGGAGGAACACCGGUGGCGAAAGCGGCUCUCUGGCCUGUAACUGACACUGAGGCUCGAAAGCGUGGGGAGCAAACAGGAUUAGAUACCCUGGUAGA